UGGGACUAAUGCAAACUCCCCAAAAAUGUGUUUAGCAUUUAUUUUCCCAUGUCAUGGGUCGUUUAGAAGUUAUACUACUCUUACUAAUUCUAUGAAUUAAGGUCUGUAGUACGAAAUGUCUGAAAUGGCAACGAGUUGGCAAGUCCAAAUGUCAAGUUAUCUAUCUAAGAGAGUCUACAUCUGUGUACAUGCUAACCUUGAUAUCGAACCAUACCCCUUCUUAAUUUACGUUGGUCAGGGUGACAAAGGAAGUAUGGGGAUUCCAGGAAGAAUGGGAGCUCCUGGAGAACCAGGUCUGUCAAUCAUUGGACCAAGAGGACCUCCUGGUCAGCCUGGAACAAGAGGAUUUCCAGGGUUUCCAGGUCCAAUUGGGCUGGAUGGCAAGCACGGACAGAAUGGGCUCAAGGGUGACGUGGGUCAGCGUGGGCCAAAGGGACUCCCUGGAGAACCAGGACCUAAAGGAGAGAAGGGCGUCUGUGGGGACUACACACAUCGGAGCCUAUUUGUGCAGGAUCUUCCCUUGAAAACUUUGGCUGCCUUGCGCUCCAGUCAACCGCUGAUGUUGAAGCAGGGCGAGCCAGGCGCGCAGGGGCCCCCGGGACCACCAGGGCCUCCCGGUCUGCCAGGCAACCCAGGUCUGAAUGGUGCCAGCGGCUCACCGGGUAAGCCUGGUGAACCAGGAAAACCUGGAAAAGACCCAAGGAUCUUACAAGGAUUGAAGGGAGAGCCAGGUUUACCGGGACAGAAGGGUGAUCGAGGUGAUGUUGGUCUAACAGGUCCCGAAGGCCCAAAGGGAGAUGAAGGGAAGAGGGGUUUUGCAGCAGAAAAAGGGGAGAAGGGAGAACCAGGUCUCCCGGGCACCCGUGGGUCAAAGGGCCAGACCGGCACCCCUGGCAUCCCUGGCAAGAGGGGCUAUAGGGUAGGCUUUGGAGAGGCUAUUAUUUCCACACUUGGAAUUAAAGGAGAACCCGGAUCGCCAGGAGUGCCAGGCCUCAUGGGACCGAAGGGUGGCAAGGGCGACAAGGGAAUCCAGGGAGAGCCAGGCCCUGAAGGCCCAGCUGGACCAAGAGGCCCUCCAGGUGCACCUGGCGAACCAGGAAAAGCUGAAAUCCACCAUAAUGAAAAUGAUAUUGGCAACAUACAUCUGAUGGGCCCGCCUGGAUUACCUGGACCUCCGGGGCCUCCAGGGGUCACUGGGGCAAAAGGUGAAGUUGGCCUCCCAGGGCCACCAGGCCUUGAUGGAGAGAAGGGAACAAAAGGCGAGACUGGUGAAGGUCUGGGAAGGUCAGAGAUGCUCUACGGUCCUCCAGGUCCCCCAGGGCCCUCAGGACCAGUUGGCCCAGCAGGAUCACAAGGACCUUCGGGGCCAAAGGGAGAGCCAGGCAUAGGGCUCAGGGGAGAAAAGGGAGCAACAGGUGAAAAAGGUGACAAGGGGGACAGAGGCCAUCUUGGACUGCCUGGGGCUCAUGGGUUAGACGGCAGACCCGGUCCAGUGGGUCUAAUAGGACCAGCAGGUGUAGCAGGGCCAGCAGGACCAAAGGGGGAGAGAGGUGAGAAUGGAGACGCUGGACAACCAGGACCAAUUGGCCCACAGGGCAUUCCUGGCUUUGUAGGACCACAAGGACUCAAAGGAAAUCGGGUCUUCCUAUCCCCUUUUUCCUUCCCUCCACCUUGCCCCAUGGCUCUUUUUCUCGCAAAGGGUUGCCCUCUCUCCCUCUCACAACACUUGGGCUCCUGCUCCUGCUCCUGCAUUCUAAUUAAAGUCCUGGGGAGAGAGGGGCAAGAAAGGCAACAGGGGGGCCAAAGGGGAUAAGGGAGACCAAGGAGCACCUGGAUUAGAUGCCCCAUGUCCGUUGGGAGAUGAUGGCCUACCUGUACCAGGCUGUUGGAACAAAUGAUAACUUUGGAAUGGCUUGCGUGGUUGUACAUAGAAUAUUUAUUUUUCUACUUUUUUCCUAUCCUAUUAUAGCCUAUUACCAUUUUUAAAAAAACAAGUAACGCAAGGUUUUGUACAGAUUUUUUUUCUAAUUUUAUUUUAUUACACAUGACAAUGUAUUUGAUUUUAUAUCUAUGCAUUUAGUUUUUAUAUUUUGAAAUUGGGAAGAAUUAAUUAUUAGCAGUUACAUAUGAAUGAUAUUUGUGCAUACUGUGAUGUGGAUAAUGCUUUUUAACUUAUUGUAGCUCAUUUUAUUCUAUUGGACAAGACCAUGCUACACUGAGUUGUGCGGCUGGAAAGAUUCAUGUGGGUAUUAUAUUUGGUAUUUGGACAGACUUAGAUGAACAUUUCUCCGAUUUAGGGUUGUCAAUGUUUUUCAUGUUAAUUUCUCUCCCAAAUACUGUUGCGCAUUAGAAAAAUGAAACAGUGAAUUUGGGUUGGACCCUGUUGAAACCAAACAAAUGUGCCAAAAUGUAACAUUUGUAUUCUAAAAUCAAGAAUGCCACAUCUUAAUUGUGUAGUAUCUAACAACACAUUAAUGAAGAUAAUUUUGAACA